AUACUACUCCCUCCGUCCCAAAAUAAGUGACUCAAGUUUAUACUAACUUUGUACUAAAGUUAGUACAAAGUUGAGUCACUUAUUUUGGGACGGAGGGAGUACAUA
rfam:Triticum aestivum genome assembly, contig: Triticum_aestivum_CS42_TGACv1_scaffold_456668_5DS